rnacentral:rRNA from 1 species
UCCUGUGAGUGAUUCUUGUUAGGGGAAGAUGCAUAGUAAAGGAUGGUCCACCCAUUAAUUUACUCUUUUUAUGUUGGUGUAAGUACUGGCUUAAUAUUAUUGUCUAGUAAUGUAAGUUUGUGUAGUUUUAUUUAACGCUAAGU